GUAGUAAAUCCAGCCUACUUCACCUCAAUAGAUUAUAAUACUUUUAAUUAAUUAAAUAAAACAUUUUAUUAUUUUAGUAAAGGAGAUAGAAAAAUUUAAUAGCGCAAUAUAAAUAGUACUGCAAAGGAAAAAUGAAAUAGAAAUUAAAUAAAUCAUAAAAACAAUAAAAAGCAAAGACUAAACCUUUUACCUUUUGCAUCAUGGUCUAGUAAGUUUAACCUAACAUAAAGAACUUAAGUUAGACAUCCCGAAACUAAACGAGCUACUACGAAGCAGCAAGACGAGCCAACCCUUCUCUGUGGCAAAAGAGUGGGAUGACUUCCUAGUAGUGGUGAUAAACCUAACGAGUCUAGUAAUAGCUGGUUACUUAAUAAAUGAACUUAAAUUCAACUUAAAAUAUUUUUAAACAAACUAAGUAAAAAUAGUAUUUUAAAGUUAAUUAAUAGAGGUUCAGCUCUAUUAAUAAAGGAUACAACCUAAAAUAAUGAAUAAUGAUUAUAAUAAUUAAAGAAAUUAACCAUGUAGGCCUAAAAGCAGCAAUCAAAAUAAAAGCGUUAAAGCUUAAUUUAAUAAAUCUUAUUAUAACAAUAAAUAAUCUUAAUUCACCAAAACUAUUAAGUCAAUCUAUUUUUAUAGAUGUGAUGAUACUAGAAUGAGUAAUAAGAAGAUAUUCUCUUAGUGCAAGUGUAAAUCAGAACGAAUAUCUCACUGAUAAUUAACGAACCUUUUGAGGGAAAAAUAAUACUUUGCAAGAAAAACCUAUUUAACCCAUCGUUAACCCAACACAGGAGUACAUUAGAAAGAUUAAAAAUAUAGGAAGGAACUCGGCAAACAUGAACUUCGCCUGUUUACCAAAAACAUCGCCUCUUGCAACUAAGGUAUAAGAGGUCCUGCCUGCCCAGUGACAUUAAGUUCAACGGCCGCGGUAUUAUGACCGUGCAAAGGUAGCGUAAUCACUUGUCUUUUAAAUAAAGACCAGUAUGAAUGGCAAGACGAAAGUUCAACUGUCUCCCUAAAUUAAUCAAUGAAAUUGAUCUUUCCGUGCAGAAGCGGAAAUAAAACUAUAAGACGAGAAGACCCUAUGGAGCUUUAA
rnacentral:rRNA from 1 species